rnacentral:rRNA from 1 species
UAUCCGGAAUUAUUGGGCGUAAAGCGUCCGUAGGUUGAUUGUUAAGUCUGAAGUCAAAGCCCAGUGCUCAACGCUGGCCCGCUUCAGAUACUGGCAGACUAGAGUUAUACAGAGGUAAGUGGAAUUUCAUGUGAAGCGGUGGAAUGCGUAGAUAUAUGAAAGAACACCAAUGGCGAAGGCAGCUUACUGGGUAUAUACUGACACUGAGGGACGAAAGCGUGGGGAGCAAACAGGAUUAGAUACCCUGGUAGUCCACGCCGUAAACGUUGAUCAUUAGUUUGUGGGUAAAGAUUCACAAACGCAGCUAACGCAUUAAAUGAUCCGCCUGAGUAGUAUGCUCGCAAGAGUGAAACUUAAAGGAAUUGACGGGGACCCGCACAAGCGGUGGAGCAUGUGGUUUAAUUUGACGAUACGCGUAGAACCUUACCCACUCUUGACAUCCCAGGCAAAGCUAUAGAGAUAUAGUG